CCGGCACGGGUGAGUAACACGUAUCCAACCUGCCGUCUACUCUUGGACAGCCUUCUGAAAGGAAGAUUAAUACAAGAUGGCAUCAUGAGUCCGCAUGUUCACAUGAUUAAAGGUAUUCCGGUAGACGAUGGGGAUGCGUUCCAUUAGAUAGUAGGCGGGGUAACGGUCCACCUAGUCUUCGAUGGAUAGGGGUUCUGAGAGGAAGGUCCCCCACAUUGGAACUGAGACACGGUCCAA
rnacentral:rRNA from 1 species